AUUGAACGCUGGCGGCAGGCCUAACACAUGCAAGUCGCACGAGUGGCGGACGGGUGAGUAAUGUCUGGGAAACUGCCUGAUGGAGGGGGAUCACUACUGGAAACGGUAGCUAAUACCGCAUACCAUCAGAUGUGCCCAGAUGGGAUUAGCUAGUUGGUGGGGUAACGGCUCACCAAGGCGACGAUCCCUAGCUGGUCUGAGAGGAUGACGAGCAACUGUGUAACUGAGAUUCAGCCCAGCCACCUGCGGGAGGCAGCAGUGGGCAAUCUUGCACAUGGGGGGACUGCCUGAUUCAGCCAUGCCGAGGGUAUAGAGAUGGCCGUUGGGUUGUAAAGUUCUUUCAACGGGGAGGCGUUACCCGCAAAGGAAGCACCGGCUAACUCGGUGCCAGCAGCCGCGGUAAUUC
rnacentral:rRNA from 1 species